rnacentral:rRNA from 1 species
UACAGAGGGGGCAAGCGUUGUUCGGAAUUACUGGGCGUAAAGGGCGCGUAGGCGGCCUGCUAAGUCGAACGUGAAAUCCCUGGGCUCAACCCAGGAACUGCGUCCGAUACUGGUUGGCUUGAGUCCGGGAGAGGGACGUGGAAUUCCAGGUGUAGCGGUGAAAUGCGUAGAUAUCAAGAGGAACACCUGCGGCGAAGGCGGGUUGCUGGGCUGACACUGACGCUGAGGCGCGAAGGCUAGGGGAGCGAACGGG